rnacentral:rRNA from 1 species
UAACGUGCCUCGAUGACCGGGACAACCCGAGGAAACUCGGGCUAAUACCGGAUGUGCUCACAUCACAUCAGUGGUGUAAGUAAAGGUAGCUUCGGCCUCCGCAUCGAGAUCGGCCCGCGGCGCAUUAGCUUGUUGGUGGGGUAACGGCCUACCAAGGCGACGAUGCGUAGCUGGUCUGAGAGGACGAUCAGCCACACUGGGACUGAGACACGGCCCAG